rnacentral:lncRNA from 1 species
UUAACUUAGGGUGACCUUAUGUUAUCAACCUGUAAAGGUCGUUACUAAGGUCCCUCCUAGACGAGACUUAUCCCGAAGGAUUACCGUAGGAAGGCUUGCUCCUUCUCAUGGUAAAACAAGGGUAUAAUCCAUGACUCUAGGGCUAUCAUCCUAUAAAAACUUUAUAUCCUACAAGUGAGGGGAUUGGGUAGUCUAAGCCUAGAUCUGACAUAUCAUAAGGAAUCUACCCUUAACUAGGUCAUGCUUGCAUAUUAUCUUAUAUAUCUCAAAACCGUUUGGGUUUACCAUGCCAAUUAUUACCCCUAUCUAUAAGGAACCUUCUUAAACAAGGUGUCCUUAUAUUCGACAUUAUCCUUAAACCCAUAUGUGGGUUCUAUAUCCAUCAUAAUCCCUAAACCCGUGUGGGUUCUUCUAUCUGUCACUGUCCUAAUGGGACAAUUGCAUUGCAUCUAAAAAAUACUUUUAGCAUACCUUCAAAUUAAAAAAUUAAAAAAUAUAUUUUUGCAUACCCACGCAUUUUCGUGCAUUUGCAUACAUACAUAUACAUAUGCAUAUCCUUUCCACUUUCGCCCUUAUCCAGCUAGCAAGUCUCCCGAUGCUCGCAAAUGAACUUGCCACAUGUCUCAAGAAGAGAAAGUACCAUUUAUGAGAGAAGGUAACCCUUUGCCUUGCAAGCCACCGGCUUAUCCAAUGCUCUAAAUACAAUGAACCUGGAUGAUGUCACCGUAACAAGGUAUGCAACAAUAUCUUCUUCAGCAACAACCUUAUGCGCCUCAUUAAUCACAACAAAGGGAGCUUGGAAGGAAAUUGGAUCUUAUACUAAUGUCUCAUGACUUAAUCAGAGCUGCCCUAGUAGGACUACAACCGGAUGAUCUCUCUCCUCGUCUAUACCCUAAAAGUCAUUGCGAGAAUGCCGACGUGAGCAUAAAGUACAACACCUACAAUUGACUUUCAAAGAAGGAGUCCCAUUGAUGAAUGGUCACCCUUACUUUAACAAUGUGCAAGGACGUCAAGAAAAGCAUCCCCUAAAGAUAAUGGAUCAACAAUGAAGCUCAUCUCUGGAAUCAAUAGACUUUCUCAUUGCUAGUUGUAAUUUCUUUUUUGCUAAGGGUUGUUUGUAUUUAAAAGUUGUACUCUUUGGGAAAUAAUUUUAGUAAAAUGAGCAUGCAUGUUUUUGAAAUCAAUCCAUUCGUUUACACUCUCUUUCUUAUGCCAUCAUGAAAAUAAAAAUAAAAAUCAAUCAAAACAGAAACACACUAAUGACAUUGAAACAGAAACACAAGCAAUGACAUUGAAACACAAGCAAUGACAUUGAAAAUGUUUAUGUGAGCUUGUCAUGUUAUAAACAUACAUCAUGCAAAAAAUUAGAUCCAGAAGAGCUC